CAUGGGUAAUGUACCUUAAGGAGAGGGAUAGCCUCGCGAAAGCGGGAGUAAUACCUCAUGUGUCCAGAGAUUCGACAGGAUUUUUGGAGAAAGAUGGCCUCUACUUGUAAGCUAUCACCUAAAGAGCAGCCCAUGUCCUAUCAGGUAGUUGGUGGGGUAACGGCCUACCAAGCCUAAGACGGGUAGCUGGUUUGAGAGAAUGGUCAGCCACAUCGGGACUGAGACACUGCCCGGACUCCUACGGGAGGCUGCAGUCGAGGAUCUUUUUCAAUGGACGAAAGUCUGAAAAUGCGACGCCGCGUGAGGGAUGAAGGCCUUCGGGUUGUAAACCUCUUUUGUUGGGGAGGAAUGCUGAAAGGUGAACAAUCUUUCAGUUUGACUGUACCUGGCGAAUAAGCCACGGCUAACUCCGUGCCAGCAGCCGCGGUAAUACGGAGGUGGCGAGCGUUACUCGGUUUGACUGGGUGUAAAGGGUCCGCAGGCGGUUUGAUAAGUAGAAAGUGAAAUCCUUCGGCUUAACCGGAGAAUUGCUUUCUAAACUAUCAUACUGGAGGAUGGAAGAGGAAAACGGAACUGUCAGUGU
rnacentral:rRNA from 1 species